GUUGUGUUACAUGCAUAUAUCUUCGGUCAAGCAUGAAGAAACACAGCAUUUCACCAAUAUACGGUGGAAUACAUAUCGACAUUUUCGGCAGCGGCUAGAAUUGAAGGGUGAGUGCAGAGACGUAGCAGAACAUGUAUUGAGUUGGAGUUUGACGAAAUUCCCGAGGAUGCGGCUCUCCAUCCCACAUGCUACCGGAGGUUUAUUGACAAGCGGGAAAUUGAACGAGUCACACGGCGUGUCUUGCGAGAGGCAGAGAGGGGAGAUGGCCAACAAGACCCCCGAACUAGCCAGGCUACCUCCGCUUUAUCGGCUGUGACCACCACUCCGACCAGGAAACUGCGAUCCAGAUCAAGCUUGGCCAUCACGAGCUCUGGUCCCGUUCUUCCUGCUGUCUGCAUGAUUUGCAAGAAAGACAGCAAAUUUAUCGUCGCGAGUGGCAGACGUCAAAGAGAACGAAAACACAGACUUUAACCGCAGGCAAGUUGCAGGAAGCAGCUGAAGUAAAGGAAGCCAAGAGCAUCCUCAUUCACAUCAAGGACAGAGACUGUGUGGCUCAGAACAGAGAAAGAACAGAUUGGGCCAACAUUUGAUCUGAGCUACAAGUUAUUCUGCGAGAGGGUAAUCCGCUAAAGGCUACUGAUCAACCAAGAGGUGCUGAGGAUGAGCCAACUGAGGAAGGCCUUUAUUGCCCUUGUGCAGUCAAGUGAAGGUGUUGAUGCUUCAACCUACAGACAGGAUAUAUUGAAGAAGAGGCUCAGUCGUGAUUUUCCUCAGCUAGUGUUCCACACCCCCGCCAAACGCAACACAUCUGAACUGGUUUUUGCUGAGAACUUGUCGACGAAUGCAGUCUUGAACUUGUUACCAUCAGGUGCGGAGACGACUCAGUCCAGCGAAAUGAGCCAGACAGACAGCGACACAGAAAGGAGGAAGUCAAAGCAACCAACCACAGCAGAGGAGACACGGACACUUUACACAGCAGCUUUGCUUUUGAAGAGGCUGCUUAGUCACAGUCCUGGCAUGUCAUGCCCAUGGCCCCCAACUGCAGUAAACUUCAAUCUCACUGAAGUCAUUUGCUGUGGCAUGCGCAAAAGAUGUGUACCUGGAUGCUUUCACACAGUUCAUGAAAAUGCCGGUUCAUGUGUAUGCCACUUGUUUUGAUUUUUUUAUUUGUUGUUUAGUUAUUAGUGAAUAAAUGAAUACAUGAAUACCUGAAUGGUCCUUAUCAUUGAUCAUUAGAUUAUUUCCAUUUAUUAAUGUGAAUAUGAAAAGGUAACCUUAUCAUCCACUUGCAUAAUAGUUGUUGGUGCUAUAAACAAAGCACUGUUACAAUCACUUAGAGGGUUAUCAAUAGCCUGGGUUAUCUAUAGCCUACUUAUUGUAAUUGUUUCCAUUAAUUGCUCAAAACCACAGUAUGAAAUGUCAAUUGCAAAAUUGUGCCUUGUGCUGUAAAUAAAGCACUGUUUAUGAUUUAUUUAGAACUUAUCCCAAUCCAGAGAUAUAUGCAUGAGUAUUAUUUUUGAUAAUUGUUAUUAUAUGUGAACAUGAAAAGGUAACCUUAUCAUCCACUUGCACAAUAGUUGUUGGUGCUAUAAACAAAGCACUGUUUGGAGUUACAAUCACUUAGAGGGUUAUCAAUAGUCUGGGUUAUCUAUAGCCUACUUAUUGCAAUUGUUUCCAUUAAUUGCUCAAAUCCACAGUAUGAAAUGUCAAUAGCAUAAUUAUGCUUUGUUCAGUAAAUAAAGCAUUAUUUAUUAUUUAUUUAGAAUUUGUCCCAAUCCAGAAAUGUAGGCACGAGUAUUAUUUUUGAUAAUUGCUAUUAUAUACCCUCUUCAAAAGGGUAUUUUGGGAGAUUCUUAUAGGUAGGUCAGACAGACGGCUUGUCAUUAUUUUCAGUUUUUCAAACGGCUUGCCACUUUUUCGCCGUAAAUCGGCUACGUGAUUGGUUUAAAACGGUCACAUGGUGUCCAGUGACGUAAAAAUCGUCAUUCCCUACAGAGGGUAAGAUUUCUUACUAAAAUGUCACCGUUUUAACCUACGUGCACGAUUACAUGAAGCGGACAUUUCACGGUAAGUUGAACAUAGCUUUGGUCGUUUCAUCAUCUAAGGGACCUGCUGUUCGGAAGCUGUGGAGCGAGGUUGAACGAAAAGGGCUGUCACCCUAC